UAACACAGCGGAAUCUUGCAGCCGCAGGUGCCCGUGGUGCCCGUCGGGAUGAAUCUCUAGAGUCAAGUUUCCAGACUUGGAGUAAUG
rnacentral:rRNA from 1 species